rnacentral:rRNA from 1 species
AUGGCGGACCGGAGCAACAUGGGCGGCAGCCUUGGGAUGCUAGCCGCGGUCGCCGUGGUGUCGACCGGCAUCAUCCUGGCAUCGUACCACCUCCACCGCCGCCUCGUCGCCGACCUCCAGACGGGCAUCACCGAGCAACGGCGGCAGAGGAGGACGGCGAAGAAGAAGAAGAAGGUGCGGUUCGCGGACGAGGUGAUGGUGGCGGAUCCCUUGUCGGCCCUCCGAGAGUACCGCCGUCGACGGAGGGCCGCGGCCAAUGGCCCCAUUCGGCCGGCGCUGCGUAAGGCCUAG